rnacentral:rRNA from 1 species
UGAGUACGAGAUGCUACGGCAUCGAAGCAGUCUAUGUCAUACUUCCAAGAAAAGCUUGCACUGUCAGAAACAGAUAAUGCCUGUACCAUAACCGACACAGGUGGGUAGGUAGAGUAUACUAAGGGGCGCGAGAUAACUCUCUCUAAGGAACUCGGCAAAAUGACUCCGUAACUUCGGGAGAAGGAGUGCCUUAUUUUUAAGGUUGCAAUAACAAGAUCCAAGCAACUGUUUACCAAAAACACAGGUCUCCGCUAAGUCGUAAGACGAUGUAUGGGGGCUGACGCCUGCCCAGUGCCAGAAGGUUAAAGAAGUCGGUUAGCAUUCGCGAAGCUGGUAACUGAAGCCCUGGUGAACGGCGGCCGUAACAAUAACGGUCCUAAGGUAGCGAAAUUCCUUGUCGGGUAAGUUCCGACCCGCACGAAAGGCGUAAUGAUUUGGAUACUGUCUCGGAGAGGGGCUCGGUGAAAUAGACUUGUCUGUGAAGAUGCGGACUACCUGCACCUGGACAGAAAGCCCCUAUGAAGCUUUACUGUAACUUGAGAUUGAAAUUGGACUUUAUUUGCGCAGUAUAGGUGGGAGGCGUUGAAAAUAUUCUUGCGGGAAUAUUGGAGCCAUCAGUGAGAUACCACUCUUGUAAUGUUAGAUUUCUAACUUUAUAUCAUUAUCUGGUUAAAGAACAGUUUCAGGCGGGCAGUUUGACUGGGGCGGUCGCCUCCCAAAUGGUAACGGAGGCGCACAAAGGUUUCCUCUGAACGGGUAGAAAUCGUAUCUAGAGUGUAAAGGCAUAAGGAAGCUUGACUGUGAGACCUACAAGUCGAGCAGGGACGAAAGUCGGUCUUAGUGAUCUGACGGUGCUGAGUGGAAAGGCCGUCACUCAACGGAUAAAAGUUACUCUAAGGAUAACAGGCUGAUCUCCCCCAAGAGUUCACAUCGACGGGGAGGUUUGGCACCUCGAUGUCGGCUCAUCGCAUCCUGGGGCGGUAGUACGUCCCAAGGGUUGGGCUGUUCGCCCAUGAAAGCGGUACGCGAGCUGGGUUCAGAACAUCGUGAGACAGUUCGGUCCAUAUCCGGUGUAGGCGUUAGAAUAUUGAGAGGAGCCUUCUUUAGUACGAGAGGACCGAGAAGGACAUACCUCUGGUGUACCAGUUAUCGUGCCAACGGUAAAGGCUGGGUAGCUAUGUAUGGAGUGGAUAACCGCUGAAAGCAUCUAAGUGGGAAGCCCACCUCAAGAUAAGUA